UUUUCAUAUUAUUGCACUACAUGUAUUAUCAUGUUAAGAUACCAUUUGGAUAGCCUAUAUUUUGGGAAAUAUACUGAAUUCAUCAAGCAUUUUAAAAGAUGGCAUGAAUUAUUAUAUUUGUAGAUAUAUAUUAAUAUAAUUAAGGACAAAACAAAAACCAAAUAGGUUGCUUAGCAAAUGAUGAUCAUUGUUAAUUACAUGUUUGUGAAUGACUGAGAAGAAUGAGAUUUAUUGAAAGAGGGCACGGGACAAAUUAACAUUUAAACCAGCGGCACGUCUGCGCGAGCUGAUGGGCACGGAGGAAAAGGUCCUGACUGCCACCAGUUGAGUCAAUGAUUCAGUGGAGAGACAGUCUGGGCAGCAGCAACAGGACAACUAUUACGAGUAGAGAUGGGUUUCAAGAUCCAGGUGCAAGGUGCAAAAAGAUGCAAGGAUCCAGGAUCAAGAGAUCAUUCAUCAUGAAGACUGUUCCAUAGGAAGCAGCGAAUCCUGGAUCAUCCUGACCAUUCUGUUGUCCUGGAUUUGAAGACAUGCUGGAACUGCAUUUCUCAUGGCUGAAAGAUUUGUGCAGCGGUAUCCAGACAUAUAAGCACCCUUCCUGGACCCACACGACUAAAGGCUCUGGAGGAGAGACAGAUUCAAGGGAAAGAUGAAAAAUAAGGAAGUCUGGGAACGACUGAAGAAGACCGCAGCGAGGGAAGGAAGUAAUCAUCACAAUCCUCGGACUGCAAUUGGACGCUGGCGAAGCAAGACGCAAAACGUUUCUCCUUAUCUCCCGGUUGUUUUGUGUGUGAAGCGGAAAGAGCAUAGCGUGGAGAAAGGUUUUUCUGAUUAAGUGUCCCAAUGUGUUCCAG